UACGGAGGGGGCUAGCGUUGUUCGGAAUUACUGGGCGUAAAGCGCACGUAGGCGGCUUUGUAAGUUAGAGGUGAAAGCCUGGAGCUCAACUCCAGAACUGCCUUUAAGACUGCAUCGCUUGAAUCCAGGAGAGGUGAGUGGAAUUCCGAGUGUAGAGGUGAAAUUCGUAGAUAUUCGGAAGAACACCAGUGGCGAAGGCGGCUUUCUGGACAAAUACCGACGCUGAGGCACGAAAGCUAGGGGAGCAAACAGG
rnacentral:rRNA from 1 species